rnacentral:rRNA from 1 species
CCUACGGGAGGCAGCAGUGAGGAAUAUUGGUCAAUGGACGUAAGUCUGAACCAGCCAUGCCGCGUGCAGGAAGACGGCUCUAUGAGUUGUAAACUGCUUUUGUACGAGGGUAAACUCAGAUACGUGUAUCUUUCUGAAAGUAUCUUACGAAUAAGGAUCGGCUAACUCCGUGCCAGCAGCCGCGGUAAUACGGAGGAUCCAAGCGUUAUCCGGAUUUAUUGGGUUUAAAGGGUGCGUAGGCGGUCGGAUAAGUUAGCGGUGAAAUGCCGAGGCUCAACUUCGGAAGUGCCUCUGAUACUGUUCGGCUAGAGAGUAGUUGCGGUAGGCGGAAAGUAUGGUGUAGCGGUGAAAUGCU